GUCUGGCUGAGUGAUAAAGCACUUGGCUUCUGAACCAAGAGGUCCCGGGUUCAAAUCUCUGUGAAGACU
rnacentral:tRNA from 1 species